CAGUCGCCACGGGAAUACGUAGGUGGCGAGCGUUGUCCGGAAUUAUUGGGCGUAAAGGGAGCGCAGGCGGACAUAUAAGUCCAUCUUAAAAGUGCGGGGCUCAACCCCGUGAGGGGAUGGAAACUGUAUGCCUUGAGUGCAGGAGAGGAAAGCGGAAUUCCCAGUGUAGCGGUGAAAUGCGUAGAUAUUGGGAGGAACACCAGUGGCGAAGGCGGCUUUCUGGACUGCAACUGACGCUGAGGCUCGAAAGCCAGGGGAGCGAACGGGAUUAGAUACCCCAGUAGUCCCUGUCUCUUAUACA
rnacentral:rRNA from 1 species